rnacentral:rRNA from 1 species
AUUGAACGCUGGCGGCAUGCCUUACACAUGCAAGUCGAACGGUAACGGGCCUUCGGGUGCCGACGAGUGGCGAACGGGUGAGUAAUGUAUCGGAACGUACCUUUCAGUGGGGGAUAACGUAGCGAAAGUUACGCUAAUACCGCAUAUUCUGUGCGCAGGAAAGCAGGGGAUCGCAAGACCUUGCGCUGAUUGAGCGGCCGAUAUCAGAUUAGCUAGUUGGUGAGGUAAAGGCUCACCAAGGCGACGAUCUGUAGCGGGUCUGAGAGGAUGAUCCGCCACACUGGAACUGAGACACGGUCCAGACUCCUACGGGAGGCAGCAGUGGGGAAUUUUGGACAAUGGGGGCAACCCUGAUCCAGCCAUGCCGCGUGAGUGAAGAAGGCCUCGGUUGU